ACCUCCUCCCGCAGUGAUUGUAGCAUCAUCAUGUCUCCUAACUACUGCAAUUAGAGGAAGGCAAGGAAAGCAUCAUGGUUUCUGCAAACACCUGAGGCAGCUGUCCUAUUGCUUGACAUUACUGAUGGCAAUGACACAGACAAGUUUGGCGACUUUCACACUCAGCUCCCCAGUUCUAUAAUGCACUUGUUGGCAGAACUCAAAGCCCUUUGGAAAGGAGGUUCAAAACACGAAUAAUGUAUUGGAUCUGCAGUAGUCGAUAACCCCCCUUGAGGAGCCCCUUGCAGCCACAUACAGAGUUAUAGACUACUGGAGGCACAUCCUAUACUUCUCCCGUGUUGCUGCAUUUCAGUUCAACAAGGUUCCUAUCCUUCGCUUACCUCGGUUCUCACAACUGGUAACUGCAAAUGUCAGAUCAAAUACAAAUUACCAGAGUUUCAAAAGAAAUUGAAGACUAGAAGGAAGCUGUUCCCUGGUGCUCCAUUAGCGUAUCUGUGCCAGAACUCCAUUCUGUGUAAUAACACUUGCUCUGCGGCUCCUGGCGUGUCUUGUGUCUCUUUGAAGGCAUUGUCAGGGAGCCACAUUUCUAUCUGAUGCUGCCGCUGACUCCCAGAGGUUUCCCUAAGAGAAGGUUAUAGCUGCGUUAGAUAGGAGAGCAAAAGGAAUUGUCCUGAGCCUACUGUGUAGUUCAUGUGAACAUGGUUCACAUGAACAAACUGCAGCCAUUAGCAGAAAAUUUAUUUAGAGACCCUAGAGGGUGAGGAGAACAGGCUCGUACUGGACACUGUGUUGUAACUACAGGAUAUGACAGUUUCUAUGAGGGUUAACUAUCUCUUGGCCUUCAUUUCUCCUUGUUAUUUUGCGGAAAGGGCAGGAUUUGACUUUGAUGUAGCACCGUGUAGGUGAUAUCAUUUGGCAGGUAAGAACCUUGCUGACCUGCUGGGGAUUACACUGUAAAAUGGCAAAAAGAACUUGUUAAGGAGGGCACACGUUUUCUACCGAAGCAGCUUAGUUUUCAGUCAAAACAUAUAUACCAUUCUGGAUGGCAUUAUUACAUAGCUAAUGUAAAAUUAAGUGCAACAUUUGUGCUUUAAAUCAUCUGGCUGAGCAUUUUUCACAGAUUUUAGCCCAAUAAUUCUCCACAGGCCUAUUGUCCUGAAUGUGAGUCUCUGCUGAACUUUGAAAAAUGAAUUGCUGAAUAUGAUUUUUUAAUGUUUAACUUACUAUCACAAGAUGUACUUAAGAAAGCAUAGGCUAGAAUUUCUUCUCAAAGCAACAAAUUAUGACUCCAUUACUGUCUGUGCUAUUAUUAAUGAUUGCAGGAAGCUUAGGCUCUCAAUAUCCCUCUCAAGCUGCUAAGAAUGAAUAACGCUAUUGGGCCACACUUCAUUAUGGCCUUUUCAUCUGCUUUUGUAAUAACUGACUUGGUUAAUUGCAGCAUACUUAGUGGGCAUGACUUCAGUGUGUGUGCAGUAUAUGGUGUUUGUCUCCAUGGGAAUCUUUCCUCCCUCAGUGAUUUGAAGUGUUUCAGAGGAAUUUUUCUAGAGAGUUUCUAACAAGCAAUUUUCUUCUGUUCCUCCCUCCCUUCACCCCUUCUUCUGUUCCCUCUUAUC